rnacentral:rRNA from 1 species
UACGUAGGCAGCGAGCGUUGUUCGGAGUUACUGGGCGUAAAGGGUGUGUAGGCGGUUGUUUAAGUCAGGGGUGAAAUCCUGGAGCUCAACUCCAGAACUGCCUUUGAUACUGAGGAUCUUGAGUUCGGGAGAGGUGAGUGGAACUGCGAGUGUAGAGGUGAAAUUCGUAGAUAUUCGCAAGAACACCAGUGGCGAAGGCGGCUCACUGGCCCGAUACUGACGCUGAGGCACGAAAGCGUGGGGAGCAAACAGG